rnacentral:rRNA from 1 species
GGAUUAGAUACCCUGGUAGUCCACGCCGUAAACGAUGACAACUAGAUGUUGGGAGGAUUUGCCUCUCGGUGUCGCAGUUAACGCGUUAAGUUGUCCGCCUGGGGAGUACGCCGGCAACGGUAAAACUCAAAGGAAUUGACGGGGACCCGCACAAGCGGUGGAGCAUGUGGUUUAAUUCGAUGCAACGCGAAGAACCUUACCUGGCCUUGACAUCCUCAGAACUUGUAAGAGAUUACUUGGUGCCUUCGGGAAUUGAGUGACAGGUGCUGCAUGGCUGUCGUCAGCUCGUGCCG